rnacentral:lncRNA from 1 species
UCCAUUUAGUUCAUAGAAUAAAUCUUACAUGAAAGUAUUUAUUUUUAUUGUUGUUUACCAACCUUUCAUUACUUUUUAUUUCUUAGCUAGCCUUUCAUAAUAUAUAUAUAUAUAUAUAUAUAUAUAUAUAUAUAUAUAUAUAUAGAUAGGGGGAAUAUCAAGUAAGAAUGACAAUUUAUAUGGGAAUGGUAGGAAUAAUUUUCAAAAAUUAGAUCAAAAUUAAUGUUCAAGAUUAAAUGGAGAUAUUGAUUCGCAUGUGCCUUUGUCUUUCCCAAGUCCAGAACUGAAAACUCGUUAUUUCCUUUCAUGAACCACCACUCCAAAUCUCACCCACAAGGACCACAAUAAACUAUGCCACCCAUGAACAUUCAAAACUUCGAUUUUAGUUAUUGUAGUCAAAUUUGAUUCUCAUUUGUUGCACCUCUUUCUCAUGGAAAUAGAGCGAUUGUCUAGAUUCCAUGAAUAAUAAUAAUAAUAAUAAUAAUAAUAAUAGAUCGAUUGUGUAUAAAGAGAAUACAAGAGUUUGAUCCAACUUAUUCACUUUCAAUUAUAUUCUUAAACAAAUUUGUCUAUAAGAAUGUUAUAUUUUUUAUGUUAUUUAAAAAGAUAAGAAUUUAUAUUAUAUUUUAUAUAUUGUUGGUGUCAUUAAAAGAUUAAUGUAGUUUGUUUAAAUAUGAAAAGGCAAAAUAUUUAUAGCUGUAAUAUACUUUUCGUAAUUUAUAAGUAGUAUUAAUGCUUUUCUUCUCAACGCUAUUAAAACAUUGUUAUUUAAUAGCAUUUUUCAAGCGCUAUUAUAGGAUUUCAACCUAUAGUAUCGGGGUUUUCUUAGUGCCUGAAAAACACUAUUAAAAGUGAAAAUGAAUGCUACUAAAAGCCAAAUUUGUAGUAGCACAUUGAUAAAUUCUAUUAUAGCAAUUGAUAUAUUUACCAUAUAAUUAUUAUAUGUUAAUAAUUAAUUAAAGGGGUUAAUGGUGCUUUACACCCCUGUAAUAUAGGUCAUUUUUGGUUUUCCCCUCCUGUAAAAUAUUUUUUUUUAUUUACCCC